rnacentral:misc_RNA from 1 species
AAAUCACUAAUCAGCAUCAAAUAUUUGAUGAACACUCCCUCCCCUUCUCAGCGGCCAAAAAGCCAUUCGCUUUUCCUUUCCGUGCGUGUCCUAUUUCAGUAUUUCUCCUUUGAGGAACCAAUUAAGCAAUUCAUUCUCUCUAUUUAUAUUUACAUACAAAAAAAAAGAGAAGAAAAAUUAAAGCAACUGUUUGGAUGGAAAAAACGAAAAACCAAUUAAAAAGAAUACUUCUCCAACGGCCUUAAAUUCUGUUUCUCUGUUCAGAGAGCGUGGAUUCUAGGGUUCUUUUGUAAUUAUCUGGGAGCUGUUUACCCAGGUACUGUUUUCUCGUUCUGAUUUUGAUUUUAGGGAGAUGGUGAACAAAACUUAGAGGUUAGGGUUUUAUUGAUUGGAGGCUUUUCGGGUUAUGCAUUUUCAAUUUGCUGCAGUUUUGGUGAUUUCUAUUGAUGUUUCCGAUAAUGGGUAUGUUGUAAUUGCUUAAACAAAUUGAUAGAACUUUGAUGGGUUCUUGUGAGAACUCGCUUAAGGUCCACGAACCUUUUCUCCUGGCUGCUGUAGAGCAGCAUGUGUGCCUAGUAAAAAAAUUCUUAUUCUGAGCAGCUGUCUUUCUUGGAGGCUUCUUUUGAUAUGAUUGAUCGUAAUGUGGGCUCCACCAGUGCGCUGGAUGGGUGCCUAAAGUUAUCUCAGAAAGAUAAUGCUGGUGGUUGUGUGAGCUCUGGUGAUUUUACAGAGGACGCAUCUGUUGAUAGGGAAAUUGGGCUGGCGUAUGAGAGUAGAGGGGUGGUUGGUUUGGUGCGAGGGAAAUUGGUGGAGGAUGAAUGUGGGGUUGCUGGUGGUUAUUUGAAAGAAAGGCAAAGUGGAAUUGACAAUUGCAAUGUGGAAACUAAUGGAUUGUGUGUGGAAAAGGUUGGGUCUAAUGAUGAGAAUGGUGGACUAGUGGAUCCCUCGGAGGAUCGUGAGAGCUCGCUGGAAUUGAUGCCUAUGUCUGGUUCAGUCAGUAAUUGUGAUCAACUGGAAGAAAGGAAGGAUGACUGGAGUGGCACUGUUCAAGGGGUUAUGGAAGAUAAAAGUGCUGGUUUAUCUGUAACAGAGAAUGACACUUGUGAUCAAAUGAUGUCUUCAUCAAACUGUGAAAUGCCUGCACAAUUAAUAUAUGAGGAUGCUUUGCCUAGAAAUGGGGUUGAACAGGACAGGCACAACAGUGUUGCCUCUUUCAAAAGGGUUAUGGUGGUAGUAGAAAAUAAAAGUGUUGGUUUGUCCAGGAUAGAGACUGAUAAUCACAACCAAAUUGGCUUUUCACUAGACCAUGGUACAUUGUCAGAAUUGAUACCAACAACUGGUAUGCUAAGUAACUGUGUUCAGCAGGAAGACCAGAAAGAUGAUCAGAUCAUUAACAGUUCCUUUGCAGAAGAGGCUACAGAGGCUGUGAAAGAGAAAAUCAAUGUUUCACCAGUGAUAGAAACUACUACUCAUUGCCAGUUGUCCUCUUGUCAAGACUUUGAAAAGUUCUUGGAAAUAAUGCCUACAAUUGGUUCCCCAGGAAAAAUUAUCCAGCAGGAUGAGCUGAAGGGUGAUGGGUCUGUUAGUGUUCCCUCUGAGGAAGGAGUCAUGGAAAAGGAAAGUGAUCAUUUUGCCUGGGUAGAAUGUACUGUUGAUAAACAAAUAUCAUCUUCAUUGGAUGAUGAAAUGCGGAUGGAAUCAGAUUUUGGGGAUUAUUGCCAAGGAAAUGACAUAGAGGGGGCUAAGACUGUUAGCAGUGUAGCCCUGGAGAGGGCUGUGGAUGUGAACAGUGAUUCUUUAACCAUGAUGGAAUCUAAUUCAAGCACCCAGAAAUCACUGCACAGUGUUGAAGUGCCUAAAGAAUCUUCUAUUACAGGUUUUCUGGCGAGUACUUGUAAUAGUCAGAAUGAACAGAAAAAUGGCAAGGAUGUCAAUUAUCUUUCUGCUGAAAGGGUUCCAACAGAUAUUUUGAAGAAAACUGAUGUAGGUCAAAGUAUACAGUCUUCACAGGAUUGCCAGAUGACAUUGGAGAAUUUGGUUAUGGCUGACACACUGGGUAAUUGUGAUCAGAAGAAUGAGCUAAGAGAUGAUAGGAGUGUUGAUGGACCUUUUGUGGAAAGAAUGCCAGAUGUUGUGGAAGAGGAAAGUGACGUUACAACUGAGAUAAAGGUUGAAAUUCAUGGCCAGAAAUUUUGUAUGGUAAGAGAUGCCUGUGAUUUGAAGGAUGGUUCACCUAAAAUAGCUCCCAACUGUCCACAGCCAUGUCAGCCCUUUGGUUUUGCUGAGAAUGGCUCUUGUAAGAAGUUGGAUGUACCAAAUCUUUUUGGGAAGGAUGUUUUUGGUGUCAUUUAUUCUAGCAGUGCAGCUGACAAUUCUGAACAGACAGAUAAUGAAGGGAAGGAUUGUGCUGGAAAUGAUGGUCCAUCUAAAACCAGAUGUCCUGACAUUGGCUCAUCAUCUUCUAGAAGGAGCAAUCGAGUACGUAAAUCCAGCCAGAAAACUCAGACAAGAAGAGCUGCAAGGAAAGGCAAGAACAAAAGCAAAGUGCAAGACAUGCAGAUCUUCAAGGCUGAAAGGAGGAAGAGAAGCUGUUUCUCUAAACCGGCUCGCUCUUCUAACUGGGGAUCAUUAGGGAAUAUCACACAAUAUUUCGAGCAAAGUAAUGGGCUGGUGUUCAAUGAAAUUCAGAAUCAUGGACCAAGCAAAACAAAGGGUCACCGAGGAAGCGGAAAGCGGAGCAGAAAGUGGAAUAAUAGUCGGACUGGUGGAAGCUCCCAUAGGUCUAAUGGAAAAAAACAUGCUUCGACUAGUGGUAUUCGCCUUAAAGUUAAAGUGGGAAAACAAGUUCCCCAAAAUAGCCCGAACAUUAUGUUCCCAGAAGUAAUUGAUACCUCAGCAUCUGCUGGUGAUGGUGGUGGUGAAUUUGAGACCAAGUCAUACCAAGGAACCAGUUCUGAAAUUCCAAAUUUUGCCAAUAGUGUUCAAGAUAUUUUGGUGCAGGAGAGGACUGAAGAGCAGCUACAAUGCCUUUUUAAUAAGCUAGAGGAGGCAAAAAUAUACUCUGAUGCUUCUAUUUCAGAUUUACAUGUAGCAGACAAGGAAUUGAAGGGCAUUUUGACUUCUCAGAAGUCUGUUGGAGAUGCUCCUGAGGAUUGUCUUGGGGUUCCCUCUCUUGUAGAUUCAUUAGGAGUAGUAGUUGAGAAGAGGUAUACAGAUCCAGGAACCUCACCUGAUUCAGAAGUUAUCAAUUUGGUUCCUGAAGGCCAAGUUAAUUCAAGAUGUCAAGAAGAUCUUCCUAAUGCCGUUUUGACCUCUUCUAAAGAUUUUGUUGCUCCUGGAGUGGUUACUGGCAGUAAGAGAGGAAAGAAGAAAGAUAGACUUACCUGUGCCAGUGACUGUUCUCCGGAAGAUAAAUCUCCUGCUAUGGCAAGCGUAAACAAAGUUAAAGCAACAAAGAAGGGUGGGGGUAGGCAGAGAAAGGGUGAUAGAUUUUUCUCUAAUGAGAUUCGUAGUUCUCCUACCGGGGUAAAUGCAUCCAGCAACUCUUCAAGCAGUAAGAAAUUUUCUGAGGAGCAGUUACAUUUGUCAAAAGAGACUGAACUUAGAGUCUCUGAAGAGGAUUUGCAAGCAGAAGUUAGUGCAGAAACUAAAAUAUGUUCUGGCCUGGAUGAUGGGCAUAGAUUGUCAGAAUCACAUAAUUCAAACAUGCUACUUCCUUCAACUGAAUACAAGGAAUGUCAACUUCCAAGAAAAUCUGGAACGAGCAAGGGAAGGUCUAAGGUCUCUGACAAAGCAAGAAGCAAGAGAGCAAAUGGUUAUAGACAGAAAGGAAAUGAACAGAGGUCAGUUAAUAAAAACAAAGUCAAGGAGAAGAAUGAUUGUGAUCGCGUUGUUUGCAAAGCUGAAAAUGAUACAGAAACAGGAAAGUGUAUUGCUGAUGAUAUGGGAAAAAUCAAUCCUGGUGACAAUGUUGCAUCCACAGGUGUAGCUAAUUUGGACAUGGCAUCAAAUGAUGUAAUGGAGCAGCAUUUACCUGUAGAUAAUGCUUGGGUGCGCUGUGAUGAUUGUCAUAAAUGGCGGCGCAUUCCUAUUUCACUAGUAGAUUCUAUUGGUCAAACUAAUUGCCAAUGGAUUUGCAAGGACAACAUGGAUACAGCAUUUGGUGAUUGCUCCAUUCCCCAGGAGAAAUCAAAUGCCGAAAUUAAUGCAGAGUUGGGCUUAUCAGAUGCUGAUGAAGAUGCCUAUGAUAUUCCGUCAAAGAAUAAGGGAUUAGAAUUUAAGCCUAAAACAGUUACCAAGGAGCAUGAAUUUACACGCAUUUCUACUAAUCAAUUUCUGCACCGUACCCGUAGGACUCUGACUAUUGAUGAGAUAAUGGUGUGCUAUUGCAAACCACCUCUGGAUGGUGGGUUAGGUUGUGGAGAUGAAUGUUUGAAUCGAAUGCUUAACAUUGAAUGUGUUCAAGGCACGUGUCCAUGCGGGGACCUUUGUUCAAAUCAACAGUUCCAAAAGCGUAAUUAUGCCAAAAUGAAGUGGGAUCGAUGCGGGAAGAAAGGUUUUGGCCUACGAUUGGAAGAGGAUAUUUCCAAAGGGCAAUUUCUAAUUGAAUAUGUUGGAGAGGUGCUUGAUGUGCAUACUUAUGAGGCGCGGCUGAGAGAGUAUGCUUCUAAGAGCCAUAAGCAUUUCUACUUCAUGACGUUGGAUGGCAGUGAGGUGAUAGAUGCUUGUGCAAAAGGAAAUUUGGGGCGAUUUAUUAACCAUAGUUGUGAUCCAAAUUGCCGUACUGAAAAGUGGGUGGUCAAUGGAGAGAUCUGUAUUGGAUUAUUUGCAUUGAGGGAUAUUAAGAAGGGUGAAGAAUUGACAUUUCAUUACAAGUAUGUAAGAGUGGGUGGGGCUGCUGCGAAAAGAUGUUAUUGUGGUUCACCUCACUGUCAAGGUUAUAUUGGUGGUGAUCUAAGAAACACCGAGGUAAUUGAUCAAGUUGAUUCAGACGAAGAAUUUCUUGAACCAGUGAUGCUUGAAGAUGGUGAAGCUGGAGAUGCAUUAAAGAAUAGGAUACCCAGAACCAGUUCCUUGGAUGGCAUAGAACUGCAAGUUGUAGACAGUAUAUCAAAAGAUAGAGAUACAGCGGGUAAUUCCACUACAGCUACUGGGAACAUGGAAGUAGUCUCUGAAAUUGAGGACUCUAUGAACCAAUCUGUUUCCCCCAUUUCCCAAUUACAUAGUUCAUUGGAAAUUGAUGAUUUGAAGGGAAAUUUUCCAUUUGCUAGUCCACCAAAAGGAAUAUCUGUAGAAGCAGAUUAUGUAACAAGCAAAUCUACAUCUGCUGUCAAGCAUGUAAUUUCCAAGGAAGAGAUUCAAAGGUUGGAUACCUCUCCAACUACAAUGCUCAGUAAAUCAUUAUCUGAUGGCAUGGUUGCUAACAGGAAGUCGAAGUCUGCUACAGCUGAAGAAAAGCGGGUUUUUGUGAAAUCACGAUUUCUGAUUAAAACCUCAUGUGAAUCUGGUUUUUCUAAGAAAGGAAAGUUUACUAGUAAUCAUUCAAAUGUGAAUAAAGUUCAGAUGAUGACCAACAAAUCUCAGGUGCUGCCUAUCAAACCCAAAAAAUUUAUGGAUGGUACUUCCAAUGGCCGUUUUGAGGCAGUUGAGGAGAAACUUAAUGAGUUGUUGGAUGCUGAUGGUGGGAUAAGCAAACGAAAAGAUGCCCCUAAAGGUUAUUUGAAGCUUUUGCUUCUUACUGCUGCUUCUGGUGCUAGUGGAAAUGGUGAAGCAAUUCAGAGCAAUCGAGAUCUUUCAAUGAUUCUUGGUGCACUUCUAAAAACUAAAUCACGAGUGGUUUUGGUUGAUAUAAUUAACAAAAAUGGUUUGCGGAUGCUCCACAACAUGUUAAAGCAGUACCAGAAGGACUUCAAAAAGACACCAAUUCUCCGAAAACUUUUGAAGGUUUUAGAGUAUUUGGCCGUCAAGGAGAUACUUACACCAGAACAUAUUAAUGGAGGUCCUCCUUGUCCUGGAAUGGAGAGGUUAGAAUAAUGUCUGGCCCUUGUUAGUGAAUUCACGUCUUUGUUAACUUUUUGCUUUGAUGGGUUACUGACAACAAUUAAUAAUGUCAUGCUUGACAUUUAAUCUGUGAUCAUUAGCCAUGAUUUUUCUUAAUUGAAUUUUUUUGUCCGACUCUACUCAAUUUGAGGGGCUCUCAGGCAUAAAUUAGAUGGUACAUCAUUUAUGGAACAAAAAGGUUUGCUGCGGUAGAUUAGUCUUAGGCUAAGAUGGAGAUUUUGUGAAGUGACGAGAACAGAGGAGGAGAGAGAAUCUUUUUGGUGUAGAAGCAAUAGAAUGUAGGCAGAUCUCAUGUUCCACCAAGGGACUUACCUUGAUAUGGGAAAAAAAGAAAAAAAGAAAAUUCGAAUGAUAAGCUUCUCUUACUGGUUUAUUCUUUACAAAUUUUUCUAAAAUUGGUGAAAGAUGGGGAGCAACCCCAGAACUCUUGGUAUUGUACAAGAGAAGCAAAACUGUCUUUUGAUUUGGAAAACAAACGAGAACAGAGGAGUUUUAUUUUCUUCUUUUUUUUUUUCAUAUUCUGAUGAGUAUGAAAUCAUUCAAAGGAUGCAAAAAUGUCAGUCAAGGAAUAGAGCAAGUGAUGAUGUGAAGCAUAAGAUUGUAGCAUCUAAUGUCUUUGAAGAAUAAAGCUUGUGAUUUAAGACUCUCUUCCCCCUCCCCUAUUAGGGUAUAAGAAGCAGGAAAGCUAUGCUUCUCUUCUGCAUUUUCUAAUUUACAAAGUUGUGCUACUUAAUAAGUAAGUUGUCCUGCAAUGGUGAAUCUUUAUGAACAUGUAGUUGUACUUUCCUGUUCCAUCUCUUAGGCUGCCAAAUUUGUGAUGUCAACUUCUUAAGAUGCAAUUUGAAAAUGAUUAUUUUCUCAUCUUGGAUUCAAUUUAUUGGUAUGUGUUAACAAGACUGUUGAUUUGUGCAGCUUUAGCGGUUCAAUAUUGUCAUUGACGGAGCACAAUGACAAACAGGUAGUUUCUCCAAGUCUCUCUUUCUUUCUGCAGAUUUAAAUUUGCAGCAAAUUUAUCAUGUACUUCCUAUGUCCCAAAGUUUUUGUCCUCUUUGAAAGUUAACACUUGAAAAGAGACAUAAUUAAUUCAUUCACAUCAAGAAUUGCUUUAAAUUCCACGUGUUUACAUUACUCUAAUUAGUUCAGUAAACAUUUUCCCAUUCUAUGAUGAGAGCAUGGGUGAAAAGCAAUAUUUGUUUGCAUUUUAUGUUCUGAGAAAGGACUCAUAUUGUGGGAAAAUAAAAAUAGAAAUGAGGACAAACUCUUUGAGAGGUGCAGAAGCAUUUAAAUAUUAAAUAUAUGAAUAGAAACCAUACUCAUAAAGGAUUGAUUCUGCCUUGACUUAAUUUGUGCUAUACAUUUAUAGUAUUUGCCUAUUUGGGGGUGAAAAAACAUGUUCGUCAAAUUUGAAACAGGUUCAUCAAAUUGCACGAAAUUUCCGAGACAAGUGGAUUCCUUGGCAUAGCAGGAAAUAUAGUUAUAUGGAUAGGGAGGAUGGGAAGAUGGAGUUUUACAGAGGCUCAAUCAGCAACAGGGUUUCAGCUUCACAGAAUUAUUCACGCGAUCUGUGUGUAAGGCCUACAGAAGCAAUAGAUUGUGCAACCCAAUCAAAGCAAGCAACAACUUCAGUGGAUGCUGCUGUCCAUGAGGGCUGUUCUGCACCUUGUGUUGGUGGUAUGAAAACUCGCAAGCGUAAAAGCCGAUGGGAUCAACCAGCAGAUGAAAAACCAUCUUCAAGAUCUCUUCAGCGUGAUGAGCAGAAGAUUCAGUCUGGGUUAAUACAACAAUCUGAAUACAAACCACUACCUGACAUAGGUAAUGAGUUGCUGGAUCACAUGGACAAACUAAGCAGAGAAAACAGUUAUUGCCCUAAUUGUGUUCGCAAUUAUUGUCAACAAGAUGAAGCUAGUUGUGCUGAUAAUGAAAGGCAGGAUGUUCCACCUGGGUUCUCAUCUCCCCUCAAUCUCACCCUGGUUUCAUCCAAUGCUUCAUCAACCAUUACUGAUCUCCCUGUUGGACGUCCUUGUAGAAAAUUCAUUUCCCGCUUGUCUGUGUCAUAUGGAAUUCCAUUGCCUAUUGUGCAGCAAUUUGGGUCACCUCAGGAUGGAACUGUGGAGAGUUGGGCUAUUGCUCCUGGCAUGCCUUUCCAUCCUUUCCCUCCACUACCAACAUUUCCCCAUCACAAGAAAGAAACUCCAUCUGCUGUUAAUUCUAUGGUGAUUGAUGAAACUACAGAAGGCCAACAGGACAGACAUGAUCCUGCUGCUUGUUAUCCAAAUGAAAACAAUCCGAGCACGAAUGGUGCUAACCAACCAGACUUAGACAUUCCUGGUGAAAAUGGCCAACAAACAUUUAAACGAGCUAAGGGAUCCUCGCAUGAUUUGGGAAGAAGGUACUUCAGGCAGCAAAAGUGGAAUAAAGGGCCUCCUUGGAAUUGCAAGAGUGAUGGGUGGGGAUACUUAGAAAAUAACUUAAGAGAUGAAGUAUGCAGUACUGAUGUGCGGAGUGUAACAAAUGAGCACAGAAAUUUGUAACUGUUCACAGGAUAUAAGUUGUAGAGUUAAAAAGGCUGGCAAUUGCAUUAAUCAGCAGAAGAGCACCUAAAUGAGCAUUCAUUCUUAGGAAAAUCACUCAAGCUUCUGGAUUUUCUUCCAUACUUUGAUGUAUUCUCAAUUCUUUUGUUUCCAGGGUUUUAUUUUCAAUGGAAAAUUCAUUCAUUUUCAGAAUUUUAGACCAGGAAAAACAUGCUGAAGAUUUGUUCUCUUCGAUAUUAAUCCAUUUAUUCAGCCCUCAAAGGGGUAGGUAUUUUCUGUUUAUGUAUCAUUUUCCUCAUAGAAGGUAUAGAUUAUAUACAAUCAGUGGAAUAAAUUAUUAACUUCACUGGUAUCUUCGAAUGUGUGUGUGUUUUAGAGAGAGAGAGAACUUGAUGGAUAAGGCGGAUGACUGUUUCUUCAAUGAUCUUUGGUAUUUAUUUUUGUAAGCCGUCUGUUACAAAUUUUCCUUGAAAUGGUCUGUAAU